CGUGGCCCUGCUCUUCUCCAUCCUGCUGUGCCUCCCGGCACAGGCCAAGGCACUCCUGGAAGGAACCCAAGAUGAUCUCCAGGAGGUGGAUGUAGUCAAUGUCGACAUCCUGAAGAC